rnacentral:lncRNA from 1 species
AUGCCGGGAUACACCGAGGCAAACGGCGCGUCGCCAUGUUGUCGCGCCGCGCGGCUCGCUUUACGGCGGUGUGGCGAGGUGAGGGUGUCGCGAAGCGGCAGGCGCGGUUUGCUUUACGGCGGUGUGGCGGGGAACAUCUGGAGAACAUCUGGAGAACAUCUGAGAACAUCUGGAAACGGUUGGGAACGGCCCCACAGGAGCUCCAGAGGCACCUGGGAGCCUUCAGCAAUCCAGCCAGCAACGCACGGGCAGGAGGACACGGAUGGCGCUUCCUGCCUUGGACAGGGCUUGUGGCAGCACUCGGGCAGCUGCAGCGGGAGGCAGGAGAGCUGGCAGCUCCGUGUCCGUGUGUCCCGUGUCCGUGUGUCCCCGUGUCCGUGUGUCCCCAUGUCCGUGUGUCCCCGUGUCCGUGUGUCCCUGUGUCCCCGUGUAUGUGUGUCCCCGUGUCUGUGUGUCCCCGUGUCCCUGUGUCCCCGUGUCCGUGUGUCCCUGUGUCCGUGUGUCCCCGUGUCCAUGUGUCCGCUGCCCGCUGCCCUGGCUUGCUUUGCUUGCUUCUGCUUUUGCCUUUGCUUCCUAGUUAGGUUACCUAAGCAGUCCAAUUUUUUCCCUGGACUUUUUUUUUUUCCUUUCCUCUUCCUGAAUACCAUCCAAUCUGCUCCGGACUGGGAUCUAGGAAACACUGAGGAGCACCAAGAUCCUGCAUGUUGUGAUCUGCAGCAGCCAUCCCCAGUGCUGGAGAGCUGCUCUCUAACCCCACCGCCUUCUGCUCCCUCAUCCCUCAUCUUCCAUCGCUCCUCCUCCUCCUCCUGUGUCCCGUCCCCACCUCCUUCUCCUCUUCCAUCCCCCCUUCUCCUCCUCCUCCUCCUCCUCCUCCUCCUCCUCCUUCAUCCCUCCCCCUCCUCUUCCCCGGCAGCUCUGGGAGGGACUGGGCUCUACCGGAAUCCUACUGGGAUCCUACUGGGAGUGACUGGGACUGUACUGGUAUCAUACUGGGAUCAUACUGGAACCGUACUGGGAUCGAAUGGGACUGUACUGGCUUUGCACAGACACCAUAGUGCCCCACACAUUCCCCGCUCCCGAAGGCCGAACCGUGAGGGGAAAGGGGCGAGGAAAGGGCGGGACCGUGAGGGGAAAGGGGCGGCUCAGGCCAAGGGCGGAACUGUGCGGGGACGCUCUGUGAGGUGGCGCUCUGCAAACAGAACUGCCACGGACUGGGAAUGA